rnacentral:tRNA from 1 species
CAGUAAGUAGUUUAAAAAAAAUUUUAAUUUUGGAGAUUAAAGAUAAGUAUUGCUUUUUACUGA